GUGAACGAGCUGCAUCGUGGGCUCUUCCCAGAGCCUCUGCACAGGGCCAGCUGGCCCGCGCCUUGACGUCAGCCUGUGAGACCAUGAGCAGAGAACCCCCGCGAGCCUCCUAGACUUCUGACCUGCAGAACUGAAAAAAACUGUUAUUGUCCUCACCUCACCAUUAAAUAUACAGAUGAAGGAACUAGUUAGGCCAAAUAAGUAUGUAACUGUUAGUUAAAUCUUGGCCCCUGUGUUAAAUGUUUAUGAUAAAAAAUUUUUUUAAUCAAACAAGAAUCUCCAAGUUUAAAACUGAUAGGUGCUGCUGCUAAGUCAGCUGUGUGAAAUGAAAGUGGAACUAGACUAAAAAAAAAAAUAAAU